GACGAACGCUGGCGGCGUGCCUAAUACAUGCAAGUCGAACGCUGAAGGAGGAGCUUGCUUCUCUGGAUGAGUUGCGAACGGGUGAGUAACGCGUAGGUAACCUGCCUGGUAGCGGGGGAUAACUAUUGGAAACGAUAGCUAAUACCGCAUAAUAGUAGAUGUUGCAUGACAUUUGCUUAAAAGGUGCAAUUGCCUCACUACCAGAUGGACCUGCGUUGUAUUAGCUAGUUGGUGGGGUAACGGCUCACCAAGGCGACGAUACAUAGCCGACCUGAGAGGGGGAUCGGCCACACUGGGACUGAGACACGGCCCAGACUCCUACGGGAGGCAGCAGUAGGGAAUCUUCGGCAAUGGACGGAAGUCUGACCGAGCAACGCCGCGUGAGUGAAGAAGGUUUUCGGAUCGUAAAGCUCUGUUGUAAGAGAAGAACGAGUGUGAGAGUGGAAAGUUCACACUGUGACGGUAGCUUACCAGAAAGGGACGGCUAACUACGUG
rnacentral:rRNA from 1 species